UGACACUCCAGAGGAAACCACAUGGCUGAAUGAAAGAAUGGUCCCAGCAGAGGUUAAUAAAUUGGAGAUAUAUCAAGCUCUACAGUGUGGGACAGUUGUCUUUGCAGCCUGGGAAUAAGUUUUCUGUUCCUGGUCAGAAUCAACCCUGAAGAUGGAAAUGCCAGACAGACAAGGUGCCAGACAGGGAGUCAGCAAGGGGACCAAAAGAGAGGUGCAGAGGAAGGUGACGGCCAUCAACCCACAAAACCUCAAAAUGGUGUCUGCACCCACACACACACUUGUUUCAUUUCGUUUGUUUGUUUUUUUGUUUGUCAUUCUUUUACCCAACCCAAUCCUCAAGUUCUCUUUUCUUGUAUGUUUUUGUUUCAUUUACAUUUGUGCACACUUAAAGGGUUAGUUCACCCAAAAAUGAAAAUAAUGUAAUUUA